rnacentral:rRNA from 1 species
UAUCAUGUUUCCGUAGGUGAACCAGCGAACGGAUCAUUA